rnacentral:rRNA from 1 species
AUUCCUUGGAAGUGAAAUCAAAGGUGGCCUCUGCAUGCAAGCUAUCACUUAAGGAUGGGGCCCGCGUACCAUUAGCUUGUUGGUAGGGUAAUGGCCUACCAAGGCUACGAUGGUUAGCUGGUCUGAGAGGAUGGCCAGCCACACUGGAACUGAGACACGGUCCAGACUCCUACGGAGGCAGCAGUGGGGAAUCUUGCGCAAUGGGGGAAACCUUUGACGCAGCAACGCCGCGUGGGUGAUGAAGGCCUUCGGGUCGUAAAGCCCUGUCAGGUGGGAAGAAACUUAUGGAUGCUAAUAUCAUCCGUACUUGACGGUACCACCGGAGGAAGCACCGGCUAACUCCGUGCCAGCAGCCGCGGUAA